CAGCCGCCGCGGUAAUACGGAGGGUGCAAGCGUUAAUCGGAAUUACUGGGCGUAAAGCGUGCGUAGGCGGUUCGUUAAGUCUGUUGUGAAAGCCCCGGGCUCAACCUGGGAAUGGCAAUGGAUACUGGCGAGCUAGAGUGUGUCAGAGGAUGGUGGAAUUCCCGGUGUAGCGGUGAAAUGCGUAGAGAUCGGGAGGAACAUCAGUGGCGAAGGCGGCUACCUGGACCAGCACUGACACUGAAGCACGAAAGCGUGGGGAGCAAACAGGAUUAGAUACCCGCGUAGUCCCUGUCUCUUAUCC
rnacentral:rRNA from 1 species